UCAUAAAAGCACACUGAAUACCUUGGCAGAAACUGUUGGUUAGCCAUCAAAAUUUCAUCUUCCCCUCUUCCAUGUAAAGACCAGCCAGGGAAGACUACAUUUCCCAGCCUCCACUCCAGCCAGGAAUGGUGCUGUGACUAAGUUUUGGCCAAUGGAAUGAAAGUCUCAAGAUCCUAGGCUCUGAACACAUCCACAUCUUCUAGGAUGGUAGAAAAGGAAAUAAAAUACAGGGGAAAAAAUGGUAGAGCUGAAAAAGAAGUCAAACCCACCCAAAUCCCACCACCAACAAUAGUAAUAGCUACUGUUUUACUGAGUGCCUAGUAUUGCUCUAAGUUAUCUAUUUUUAUCUUCAUAACAACCCUGUAAGUAUUAUUCUCCAUUUCAAAGAUGAAGCAGCUAAGGCUCAGAGAGGAUAAAGGCCUGGAAUCUGAGGUGACACAACCAUCAAUCUCCCUUUAUGCCCACAGACUCUCUCCACAUCCUCUACUCUGUAUCUCAGCAGGUCUCAGAAGGUCUCUAAGCUGAGAUACCCUUAAAAGUCUAUGUGUGUUUUUAUCCAUUUUCUGUCACUGUGAGUUUCCAAAUAAAUUCCACUUAUAUA